GCGGUUCCGGUUCACGUCAUCAAGCGCCAGCGCCUCAGUGAGGGCGUCCGCGCGACGACCCGGCGGCC
rnacentral:ncRNA from 1 species